rnacentral:misc_RNA from 1 species
GUGAUAAGAAGCAAAGAACAUCCGAUACAUACAUAACAAAGAUGAAGAUGGGGGGUAAAGGAAAGUUCGAUCUCAACAUAAAAUGGGCUCAAGUAAAAAGUAGAUUAUCAAGUUGAUGACAUUAGCCCAUUUUCAACAAAAAUGAACAACGCAUAGCCUUCCUUCAAUGUUGAGGAUGUCAAUACCGGAACUAAUGAAACUUGAUGGUCAAUAUUCCAAUGACUUUCUAGGCUUCAACUAAGGAUAUAACAAACUAUAUUCAUGGUUUCAUCACCUUCGGGCAGAUGGUGCAGCACCCCGACCAGGUGCACUUCCACGGCCAGCAGCUUGAGCUUUAGCUCGCAUAGCAACAGCCCUGCCCCUGCCAACACCAAGCGAGG